UACAGAGGGGGCAAGCGUUGUUCGGAAUUACUGGGCGUAAAGGGCGCGUAGGUGGCCUUCUAAGUUGAACGUGAAAUCCCUGGGCUCAACCCAGGAACUGCGUCCAAGACUGGGAGGCUUGAAUCCGGGAGAGGGAUGCGGAAUUCCAGGUGUAGCGGUGAAAUGCGUAGAUAUCUGGAGGAACACCGGUGGCGAAAGCGGCUCACUGGACCGUCACUGACGCUGAGGUGCGAAAGCUAGGGUAGCAAACGGG
rnacentral:rRNA from 1 species